AUCCUUUUUUAGUUGAUAAGCGUGAUGAUUGGGUGUUCACGCUCUUGUGUGAGAUGUGCCCCCCUCAAACCUUGUUACAACAUCGGCACAUUACACGUCUGACA
rnacentral:snoRNA from 1 species